AAAACUACCAAAAAAUGUGGUGGGAAAAGGCCCCGUAUUUGGCUGACGCAAAACUUGCCCUCUCUUAUCUUAUUUUACACAUUACAGCCGCGCAGUUACUAUCUGUCUCUCUUUCUCGUGGGAUCCACGAGAGCGAGAACAAGACAGAUGUAGCGAGAAAGAGAACAGCCGAGCGACCCUCCCAUCGCCUAGUCUUCGACAUCGACUGAAUCGCCUAUAUAUCUCCCAUGCACAACAUAGUUGGGACGUGUGGACCAGGGAUGAAACUAAACGCGUAUGAAAGGUGUACUACAAUGUGGUUGUUUAAAAAACCCUUCUGUAUAGUUUCAACUAAUUAAAAUUAGUUAACAUUAUUUUUUUCAAUUUUCAAAACUGUGUACCGAUAACAUUCACAAAAUUUGCAUGAUUUUGUCAUCGAAAUAACGGCUAGACUGAUAAAAAAAGAUGCUUUUUGCAUUACCUGCAGUAAA